UAUACCAAGUCAUCUGGCACAUCCCCUUCCCGGAGCGCGUGCGUGCGCGCGCCCGUGCUUGCGUGCGUGUGCAUGUGUGCCGGGGAAGUCAUGUGUCGGGGUCUUCUGGCUUGAAGAGGAAUCUAGGAAUGAUGGAGAAUCGUGAGUUAAAAGAUUUAAAUCUUGCAAUCACCGCUGGGAAGUGAGCUGUAUCAUCUUGAGAAAUCAGACCACAGAGCUGGGCAUGCAGCCGGCAGGCUGGGUCAUCUUUAAUCGCUUAACCCUUCAUAUCAAAGGAUGGGUGGAAGCAGCAGAUUCCUUCUCAAGAAUUUGCCAUGGCAGAUUUUCUCAAGGAAAACCUGGGAGUUAAAAUGAAGCAGAAUGUCUACAGCAAAAACCUUGCCUUGUCCCGGAUUUUUGCCCUCCUUUACGAGGAGCUCCAGAUCCCUCGCCACCCUGACUCCCGUAUGCUUGGUGUCUCUGAAAGUUAAGACCUGCUCUAGGAUUGGCUGCAGGCUGCCAUGGUGGAAAGACCCACAUCACAAGGAUCCGAGGGUAGCCUCUGGUUAACAGCCAGUGAGGAGCUGACAUCCUCAGUCUGAUGGCCCGUGAAGAACUGAAUCCUGCCAGCGCCGCUGUGUGAGCUUGGAAGCAGGUCCUGCUUCAUGGGAACCUUGAGAUGACUGUAGCUCCAGCUGCCACCUGGCCUGUGCCUAUGAGAGACCCUGAAGCCACCCUGGCUAAGCCGUGGCUGGGUUCCUGGUCCACAGAAAAUGGAAAA